rnacentral:rRNA from 1 species
CAAUAGCGUAUAUUUAAGUUGUUGCAGUUAAAAAGCUCGUAGUCGGAUUUUGGCUGAGAACGAUCGGUCCGCCGUUAGGUGUGCACUGAUUGGUCUCAGUUUCCUGGUGAGGAGGUGUGCUUCACGGCCACUUAGUCACCGUGGUUACUUUGAAAAAAUUAGAGUGUUCAAAGCGGGCUUACGCUUGAAUAUAUUAGCAUGGAAUAACACCAUAGGACUCCUGUCCUAUUUCGUUGGUCUCGGGACGGGAGUAAUGAUUAAGAGGAACAGUUGGGGGCAUUCGUAUUUCAUUGUCAGAGGUGAAAUUCUUGGAUUUAUGAAAGACGAACUUCUGCGAAAGCAUUUGCCAAGGAUGUUUUCAUUGA